GACGAACGCUGGCGGCGUGCCUAAUACAUGCAAGUCGAGCGAGACUCUUCGGAGUCUAGCGGCGGACGGGUGAGUAACACGUGGGCAACCUGCCUGUAAGACUGGGAUAACACCGGGAAACCGGUGCUAAUACCGGAUAAUCCUUUUCCUCUCAUGAGGAAAAGCUGAAAGUCGGUUUCGGCUGACACUUACAGAUGGGCCCGCGGCGCAUUAGCUAGUUGGUGAGGUAACGGCUCACCAAGGCGACGAUGCGUAGCUGACCUGAGAGGGUGAUCGGCCACACUGGGACUGAGACACGGCCCAGACCCCUACGGGAGGCAGCAGUAGGGAAUCUUCCACAAUGGACGAAAGUCUGAUGGAGCAACGCCGCGUGAGCGAUGAAGGCCUUCGGGUCGUAAAGCUCUGUUGUUAGGGAAGAACAAGUACCGGAGUAACUGCCGGUACCUUGACGGUACCUAACCAGAAAGCCACGGCUAACUACGUGCCAGCCGCCGCGGUAAAAC
rnacentral:rRNA from 1 species